UUAAUCACUUUGAGCAGACACGGAAACGUCCUGCUCGUGCAGUGCCAGCCUGACCUACAGUGUGCUGCGGGCACAGGGCUCAUAGAGCAAGGUCGGCAUGGAAUUGCUCAUACAUGUAGAAGUUCCAGAACUGUGGAGACGUGGCAUUGAGGGACACAGUCACUGGGUAUGGAGGGAUGGGCUGGGGUUGCCCUCAGGGAUCCUAGAAGCCUUUUCCAGCCCUAACGAUUCUAUGGUCCCAUUCAGACAUCAACAUCACAUCCCAGCAAGUGCAGUAAUUGUGGGAAAGACACAAACUACGUGAGCAGGAUCUCCAGCAGCAGCUGAGGUCUCCGGAUAUAAGAAACCUACCUGCCCAACUCACUGCGGUGCUGAACGCCUCGGAUACCCAGGGAGAAAUCAAACCACAGUUUCUGGAAGGUUUAAUUUAAACACUUGAACUAAAUGGAGAGGUAUUUGAAGCACAAGGACAGCUGUCCAACAGCAGUGUGGUGCCCUCAACAGGAAUCAGAGCCCACAGAAAAUGAAGCCUUCAUCCAAAGUCUGCAAUGCAGUUCAGAGAGUGCAGCCCAGCUGGUCUGCAGCAGCCACACUUCUCACCUCUGUCUUCGAGACCACUAGCAAACAGCCUUCCCACCACCACCUUUAAUAGGUACAAGGCUCCACCUUGCUGUGUUUCUGUAAUGGGAAAUGCCUCUGUGUGAACUCAUAGCAAGCCUCCCAGUCAAGAGUUUUUACGUAACACUGCUCGUUUAUCCUCGUGUGCCAUCAUUCAGCACUGAAAACAUUUGCAAAGGCAUAACUAGUUCACAUGGCGAUAUCCUCUAUGUGUGCAAUACAAAGGCAUUCUGUUCUGCGUGCCCUGCAUGAGGGCACAUCAAGUCUGCUUGCGCCCAGCGCUCCGUGCUCACACAACACGUACACAUCACUGCUCCCCGGACUACAGCACAACUCCAUGAGGCACAGCUGACACUGGCUGAGCAUUGUCCAGCCACACACCAGGCUUUCUGUGCCUGCCCUGGAGCUGCACUGUUCUCCCCAUCACAGCAGCCCCAGCCAUAACCAGGAGGAGCUGUGAGCACCACCAAGCACAAGCAGCACCGAGCAGCCCUUCCUUAGUCCUGCAUCCCACAGAAGUGUCUAAGUGCUUGGACAAAGGCUUAACUUGACCUGUAGAGAUCUGAACUUU